AUGUUACUGUGGGCCUGAUUAGGUUUAUUGAUGGCUGCAUGUGUGUUUUUCUGAAGGUGGUGAUAUUUUUUAUAGGUUUGGAAGCUUUCGGUUGUAGCUUGUAGUUGGGUUGGUUGUUGCUGGGUUUGCAUGCAAGAGAAUAACCUGGUUUAGCUUUGGCGUUGGUAACUCAAGGAUACUUUCACUGGCCACAAUGAUGAUCGUCGACCCUCAAUGGCUAAAAGAAAGUGAGAUCGUAAGAUGAGCUCUGCCUUUCCACUUUUCUUGUUGGUCACUGCCUGUCUUUUCCUCCGGUUUCUAUAACCUGAGUUCCUUGGUGCACCAAAUGUUUCUUGGCUAGGUCGAUAUGUGGUGGCACUGGGUGAUCUAUGUUUGGACUUUCUUCAUCUUGGUGAACCACUAUUGGAGAGCCCCCCUACAGCAAAAAGGGUUUGCGACACUAUUGGCUUGUGUCUGUCGGAACCUCUUGUCGAGUAGAUAACCCGAAUAGCUUAG
rnacentral:misc_RNA from 1 species